rnacentral:tRNA from 1 species
GCACCUGUAGCUCAGUGGAUAGAGCGUCUGUUUCCUAAGCAAAAAGUUGUACAUUCGACCCCUACUAGGUGCG